GGAGGGAAGACAAUCCAACCGUCUCCUUUAGGUGUGUUCGACAUCGGCUGCUGCUGGAUGUAACCGAUCUGCGAGAGUUGCCGCGUGCAGGCGGGGAGGAUCUGCAAACGGAGAUAUGAAGCCGGACACGUUGUGGCUCCCGUAGUUUGCUGCAAUUACGUCAGUCAUGGCAGAUCACGUGGUGUUUGCUUGCUUUAUCGCAGACGAGCUGGAAGCGAUAGAAAUUCCAUUAUUUUUGCAUGACAUUGGGCACAAUGAGCAACGAAGAAUGGUUCCAAAAAUAGACAAUUUUGUGGAGGAUGUUGUCCCUCUCUACAGUCUCUCAGAAUUUAGAGGUCAUUUCAGGCUUUCGAAAGAACAAGUGGAGGAUGUCAUUACUACCCUUGGUCCUGUUUAUAUGAAUUUACAACAGACCAAAAUUCCACUCACAAACAGUGUUCUUGCCUGCCUUUGGACAUUGGAAUCAGGAGUCAUAUCGUGGGGCGGCA